GGAUUUGAACAAAGAACUGUAUGAAAGUGAUUGGGGACAAGCCUCCUACGAGUACAGGAGAGCAGUUACACUGAUGAUGGUGCGAGUUCAGAAACCUCUGUGCUUCAGUUUUAUGGGUAUAAUGGACCUGGACCUUGUGGCUUUUGAAUAUGCUGUCAAAUUCUGCUACACAUACUACACCAUGCUGCAUUUGAUGAGCAUUAAAGGAGUGAACUCCUAGCAAUGUCAAAAGGAACGAGUAAAAUGUUAACGAUAAUCAACAGUAUUAGUCUUACAGUGAAAAUAGCACUAGAUCUCAUUUAUUUGCAGUAGAGGCAAAUGAAACUUUAGAAGUUUCAUGCUUUAUACUUGUAUAAGAGGUUGUGUUUUUUUCUUGUUAGGAGAUCAAUAUACCGAUCUAGGAUAGUUUUAACUAUUUUCUUAUCGUCACUAUCUGAGCUAUUUUGUUUUGAUUGCUGAAGUAUUAAUAGCGAUACAUAAAUUUUAACAUUAAAAUAGAGAAGAUAGGAC